rnacentral:ncRNA from 1 species
CAAAGGCUUGGUCCUGACUUUACUAUCAGCUCUGGCUAUACUUACACAUGCAAGUCUCCGCGCCCCUGUGAGGAUGCCCAUAGUUCCCUUCUAGGGAACAAGGAGCCGGUAUCAGGCACAGCCCUAGCUAGCCCAUGACACCUUGCUUAGCCACACCCCUACGGGAAUCCAGCAGUGAUAAAUAUUAAGCCAUAAGUGAAAACUUGACUUAGUUAAAGCCAUGAAGGACCGGUAAAACUCGUGCCAGCCACCGCGGUUAUACGAGAGGUCCAAGUUGAUAGUUCGCGGCGUAAAGCGUGGUUAGAGGUGUACACUACACUAAAGCCGAAGGCUCUCAAGGCUGUUUAACGCAUACCGAGAGUAUGAAGUCCAGUUACGAAAGUAGCUUUAAAUUACCUGAACCCACGAAAGCUGAGAAACAAACUGGGAUUAGAUACCCCACUAUGCUCAGCCCUAAACAUUGAUUGGACUCUACAACCCCAAUCCGCCUGGGAAUUACGAACAUAAGUUUAAAACCCAAAGGACUUGGCGGUGCUUUAUAUCCCCCUAGAGGAGCCUGUCCUAGAACCGAUAAUCCCCGUUCAACCUCACCCUCUCUGGCCCCUUCCCGCCUAUAUACCGCCGUCGCCAGCUCACCCUGUGAAGGUCCAAAAGUGAGCACAAUUGGUACAGCCCAGCACGUCAGGUCGAGGUGUAGCGAAUGAGAGGGGAAGAGAUGGGCUACAUUCGCUGACCACAGCGAAUUACGAAUGGAGCAUUGAAACAUGUAACUGAAGGUGGAUUUAGUAGUAAGUUAGGAAUAGAGUGCCCUACUGAAGCCGGCCCUAAAGCGCGUACAUACCGCCCGUCACCCUCCCCUAGUCUACCAACUUCCCCCUUAAAUAAAGUGUCAAUCUUGCGAAGGGGAGGAAAGUCGUAACAUGGUAAGCGUACCGGAAGGUGUGCUUGGAAAAAC